GAGUGGCGAACGGGUGAGUAACACGUGACCAACCUACCCCUUACUUCGGGACAACCACUGGAAACGGUGGCUAAUACCGGAUACUCCGACUGCUUCGCAUGAAGCUUUCGGGAAAGCCUUCACGGUAAGGGAUGGGGUCGCGGCCCAUUAGGUAGACGGCGGGGUAACGGCCCACCGUGCCUGCGAUGGGUAGCCGGGCUGAGAGGCUGAUCGCCCACAUUGGGACUGAGAUACGGCCCAGACUCCUACGGGAGGCAGCAGUGGGGAAUUUUGCGCAAUGGGGGAAACCCUGACGCAGCAACGCCGCGUGCGGGAUGAAGGCCUUCGGGUUGUAAACCGCUUUUAGUAGGGACGAUUAUGACGGUACCUACAGAAGAAGCUCCGGCUAACUACAUGCCAGCAGCCGCGGUAAUACGUAGGGAGCAAGCGUUAUCCGGAUUCAUUGGGCGUAAAGCGCGCGUAGGCGGAUGCCUAAGCGGAACCUUUAAUCCGAGGGCUUAACCUCCGGUCGGGUUCCGAACUGGACAUCUCGAGUGCGGUAGGGGCAAGUGGAAUUCCAUGUGUAGCGGUGGAAUGCGCAGAUAUAUGGAAGAACACCGAUGGCGAAGGCAGCUUGCUGGGCCGUCACUGACGCUGAGGUGCGAAAGCGUGGGUAGCGAACAGGAUUAGAUACCCUGGUAGUCCACGCCGUAAACGAUGGAUGCUAGGUGUGGGGGAACAUUUCUUCCGUGCCGCAGCUAACGCAUUAAGCAUUCCACCUGGGGAGUACGUUCGCAAGAAUGAAACUCAAAGGAAUUGACGGGGACCCGCACAAGCGGUGGAGCAUGUGGUUUAAUUCGAAGCAACGCGAAGAACCUUACCAAGUCUUGACAUCCCUCUGACGUACCGGUAACGCGGUAUUUCCUUCGGGACAGGGGAGACAGGUGGUGCAUGGUUGUCGUCAGCUCGUGUCGUGAGAUGUUGGGUUAAGUCCCGCAACGAGCGCAACCCUUACCCUUAGUAGCCAGCGGAAUAAGCCGGGCACUCUAGGGGGACUGCCAGGGACAACCUGGAGGAAGGUGGGGAUGACGUCAAAUCAUCAUGCCCCUUAUGACUUGGGCUACACACGUGCUACAAUGGCGCAGACAAAGGGAAGCGACCCCGCGAGGGCAAGCAAAUCCCAAAAAUGGCGUCCCAGUUCGGACUGCAGCCUGCAACCCGGCUGCACGAAGUUGGAAUCGCUAGUAAUCGCAGAUCAGAAUGCUGCGGUGAAUACGUUCCCGGGUCUUGCACACAACGCCCGUCA
rnacentral:rRNA from 1 species